rnacentral:rRNA from 1 species
GUAGGUGGCAAGCGUUGUCCGGAAUUAUUGGGCGUAAAGCGCGCGCAGGCGGUUCUUUAAGUCUGAUGUGAAAGCCCACGGCUCAACCGUGGAGGGUCAUUGGAAACUGGAGAACUUGAGUACAGAAGAGGAAAGCGGAAUUCCACGUGUAGCGGUGAAAUGCGUAGAGAUGUGGAGGAACACCAGUGGCGAAGGCGGCUUUCUGGUCUGUAACUGACGCUGAGGCGCGAAAGCGUGGGGGAGCAAACAGGAUUAGAUACCCGUGGUAGUCCACGCCGUAAACGAUGAGUGCUAAGUGUUAGGGGGUUUCCGCCCCUUAGUGCUGCAGCUAACGCAUUAAGCACUCCCGCCUGGGAGUACGGCCGCAAGGCUG